CAGAGGGUGCAAGCGUUAAUCGGAUUUACUGGGCGUAAAGCGCGCGUAGGUGGCCAAUUAAGUCAAAAUGUGAAAAUCCCCCGAGCUUAAACUUGGGAAUUGCAUUCGAUACUGGUUGGCUAGAGUAUGGGAGGGGAUGGUAGAAUUCCAGGUGUAGCGGUGAAAUGCGUAGAGAUCUGGAGGAAUACCGAUGGCGAAGGCAGCCAUCUGGCCUAAUACUGACACUGAGGUGCGAAAGCAUGGGGAGCAAAACAGGAUU
rnacentral:rRNA from 1 species